CACGUAGGGUGCGAGCGUUGUCCGGAAUUAUUUGGGCGUAAAAGAGCUCGUAGGCGGUGUGUCGCGUCGGCCGUGAAAACCUGCAGCUUAACUGUGGGCUUGCGGUCGAUACGGGGCAUCACUGGAGUUCGGCAGGGGGAGACUGGAAUUCCUGGUGUAGCGGUGAAAUGCGCAGAUAUCAGGGAGGGAACACCCGACGGCGAAAGGCAGCACUCUGGGCCGGUACUGACGCUGAGGAGCGAAAAGCAUGGGGAGCGAACAGG
rnacentral:rRNA from 1 species